UUUCUCCGGCGUCAUGUCUUGUUUGACUUCCUGCCUUGUGUUUUCCCGCCUUUUGUGAUUGUCUGCCCCGCUCUGAUGUGUUUCACCUGUUCCGCAGCCCCUGUUCCACAGU